UUCUAAACCCUUCAUUUUUCCCCAAUUGCUUCCUCCCAUCCGCGUUUCUCCCCUAAAUUUUCCCCAUUCCUCCUGUGCGCGUUUCUUCCCAUUCCGGCCAUCUUAAGUCUCGUCGCCACCACUUCCCGUCUCGUGCUCGUCCGUCCAAACCUCCUCCUCGUCGUCACCACCCCCGUCUUCUCCAAACCUCCGCAAUCAACUUGAAGCUUCAAAUCGUGGACAUCGGUCGUCACCCCUCCGCUGGUGAGCCACCAUGUUGCUGAUGCCAGCAUGUUGCUGACUGAUCUAGAAGAAUUGUGAUUUAAAAUUAUCCUUAUUUCUAAUGCCACCAUGUUGUUGGACUAAAAGAAACAUAAUAAAUGACUUGUUUAUGUAAGAUAAAUCAUUUGUUGGACUAAGGAUUUUGCUCGGACCCUCUUCAUCUACUAGGAAUACAAACAUUGGGCAAACUGAUUCGCCCAGAUUUGGUCAUCUUGGCUACCGAAUAUAGAGGGGAUUUGAAGUAUAAAGUUUGAGUGAUUUAGUACUUCCCCUGUACAGGAGGGGAUCGAACCUCUACAACCUUUGGAGAGACAUGUCAUUUACCAUCAAGUUAUACUAUUUUUUCGAUAUAAACGAAUACCACACAGUGAUAGAUGGAUCAGAUUCAGUACUUUGAGAAGUACUUCGACAACAUUUAUGAGUACAGGCACGUGGUUCUCCCACCCGAAGUGGCAAAGUUGCUUCCUAAGAAUCGUCUGCUCUCGGAAGCCAAAGAGAUUGGAACGGUAUAAAUGAAUCUCAACGGCUUUGGGUAUUGAGAAGAUAUUGUGUAAUUCAUUUGGUACAACUUUUGGGAAAAAAAAUUUCUUCUAUAAUAUAACAAGCUAAAGACAAGAUCAACCUCCCAAGAUCCUAGCUAAAAGGUUCAACCGGAGUCGACAAGUUCAUGAGUUUUCUUUCAAAGAACAUUUUCAGAGACGAACAUACUCGGUUGGUCGUUU